CAAAAUUAAAAGUUCAAUACUAAAUUUUUAUAAAACUUAAUAUUUAGGCUCUUUAAUUUAAAUUCUAGCUAUUUACAGUAUUUUCCUCAAUGUUUAUAUUAAAAUAACAUUGUAAUGUAUCUUGAUCGAUCAUGGAUUCGGAACGUUCUAGAAAUUUGACAUAUUCUGAGUGAAACGAAACACACAGGUGACGUUCAGAAACUUGCUUGUUUGUUAUUUUUUUUCUUUCUAAAGUUUAAUUAUUUAAUUAAAUUUAAAUGAGAGAAGCAGUAUUGUGAGUUCCCAUAUCGAAAUUAUUCAAUAAGAGGCUAGUUAACACAAGUGGCAUUUAUUGAAAGUAAAGAAAAAAAAUUAUACAAAACUGCUAGAUAUUGUGAUUUGUUGGAGUGACAAGUUUUCGAACGAACAUCUGAGUCACGGGUGAUGACCGGCGCUUUUUGGAGGGUGGAAGUCUUUUGCUUGGUUGGGGUGAUCGCGAACGGAAGUUCUGUUGUACGUGGUGUGAUAGUGUCCCGAAUUCCAAGAGGUCUGAACCGUGCCGUUCCCUGAUAAACGGGCAGGGCACGCAUCGCCAUCCUCUACGUUAAAAGGGAAUUUUAGAAUAAAUCCGAAAGCCCCGUGAUUUUGUGGACUCAUUGCCACGUGCUGAGUUCUGUUACUGAAGAUUUUGGUUGGACAGUGCUCGGUGGCGAGCUCUGCGCUGUGUCCUGCUUUAGCGGCUGUCGCCGGAUUUUUCCUCCGUUGAAGGUGACGAUGGUGCCUGAGAGUCGUUCCCCGACCAUGACUGGCCGAUAUGUACACUACCGAGGCCGUCCACCACGGUCCAGGGCUACCCUACUUCAUAGGAGGUGUUUGGCACCGGCUGUCCCGCAGUGCCAGACGCUUGCUGCGCCCGACGGGUGCGGAGGGGGUUGAGCCGAGUGGUGGCGACUAGCGCGCUAGUAAUCUUAAGUAUUUUUAAUCAGUACCAACCAAACGGCCCAACGACCCAUCCCUUAAUUUUUCUUUUAAAUAUUUGUGUCUAACCCA